rnacentral:rRNA from 1 species
UACGAGUGCCCCCAAGCGUUAUCCGGAAUUAUUGGGCGUAAAGGGUGUGUAGGCGGCCGCGUUAGUCUUCUGUUAAAUCUCCCGGCUCAACCGGGAAAAGGCAGGGGAAACGGCGCGGCUCGAGGGUAUGAGAGGUGCAUGGAACUCAUAGUGUAGGGGUGAAAUCCGUUGAUAUUAUGGGGAACACCAAAUGCGAAGGCAGUGCACUGGCAUACAUCUGACGCUGAGACACGAAAGCGUGGGUCGCGAAUGGGAUUAGAAACCC